GGGCCCGCACAAGCGGUGGAGUAUGUGGUUUAAUUCGAUGCAACGCGAAGAACCUUACCAGGGUUUGACAUCCUGCGAAUCUCUUGGAAACGAGAGAGUGCCUUCGGGAGCGCAGUGACAGGUGGUGCAUGGCUGUCGUCAGCUCGUGUCGUGAGAUGUUGGGUUAAGUCCCGCAACGAGCGCAACCCACGUCUUUAGUUGCCAGCAUUAGUUGGGCACUCUAGAGAGACUGCCGGUGAUAAAACCGGAGAAGGUGUGGAUGACGUCAAGUCAUCAUGCCCCUUACAUCUGGGCUACACACGUACUACAAUGCUACGGACAAAGGGCAGCCACACCGCAAGGUGGAGCGAAUCUUAAAACCGGUCUC
rnacentral:rRNA from 1 species